rnacentral:lncRNA from 1 species
AUGCCGUCCCGUGCACCCCUCAGCUCUGUGAUACCACCCUAUGCUGCAGAGCCGCCCACUCGGAGCACCCACUCCCGCUGCUCCUCAGGCGGCCGCGGGCUCAGCGCCACGCGCCCAAUGGCCGUACGCCUCGUGCCCAACGGCAGCGCGCCUCGCGCACAACGGCCACUCUCCUCGCGCCCAACGGCUGGAGCCGCCCUCGCUCCUUUCGCUCCCGGAGGCCAGGAAGGCAGCGCUGAGGGGAUCCCGCCGCAGCACUCAGCCUGUUGUGGCACAGAAGACAUUUGCGGUGUUCACAGCAACCUGAGAUCACUACCUGACCCAAACUGUUCCUAAAGAAAGAAGAAAACCAGAAGGCAUUUACAGAGAGAAGCUAGUCAAAUGCUCUGCUAGGUUUUAAUGUGUUUUAUGAGACUGCCAUUCUUUUGCUAGAACUAUUUCUAAAUAAAAUAUAAAGAAUUUUUGCUUGACCUUCUGACGUGCUUUGUACUUCAUCUCAUUGUCCCUCUUGAUUUAAAGUGAUGAUAUGGCAUAGAAAAAGAGAAAAAGUAGGUUUUUUGCACUGACUUAAACAUAAAUGUGUAUUUACAGUCAUAGAAUGAAAUGUUGACUCUGCUGAGAUAAUGCAUUUGAAGUAUGUGAAAGAUUUGUUGAACAACUUAGCUGUGCUUGUAGCUUAGUAUGUGAGUAGGAGCACUGUGAGAGACUCAGCAACAGCAUAGGUUUUCUCUGCUAUUGGCAAUUCAUCUGAGGCUCAGCUAGAAUAUGCAGCAAAAAAAAAAAAAGAGGAUGCAGCAUUGAGGUUUGGGAACUGGACUCCUUAUCUGUGCAGGUUUUGAAAAUGAAAGUAAUGGCCAGUGACAGUCAAUAGCAUUGGGGUGGGUGUAGCUGUGAGAGUACCUUUUGCAGGUAUAUCCACACCAGUCAGGCUUACGCAGCAGGCAAAAGGCUGGUUUAUCUCCUGAUAUUACGGCUACUUUCAUUUCUUGUUUAUUUUACCUUGCACGAUAUUUUCUUGGGUUUUGUCUUAGUUUUUUGUCACUAACUUACAAAUUUAGGAUGGAAUUGCAGGCAAAAUCAGUUUGUGCACUGGUUUGUAUUAUGUCUUGUGAGCAAACAGGUAUUACAUUUACUGAAGUGAUAGAAUUGAUACGAGUUACCUAUCGGGUUCUGGGUCGGUCUGUAAAAGAUACAUUUUUUCAGUAAGUUUUUGCUUCAGAAAUACCUNUGAAGAUUUCAUUGGAGAGUCCUCCUGUCCCUGCCAAAGUGACCUUGGUUGGUGGAAAGAUGACUGAGUGCUUUCCUGGCUGUGCCUGACAGCAGUGCAAUAGCAGCACAUUUGACAAAUCGCUCACAUUAAAAUGGGGGGCACUUUCGGCAGCACUGGCGUCCCUAUCCAUCAGUCCUGAUUACUACACAAACGUCAGCCAUGGCACAGAGCGCAUUUGUCAGAGAGAGUAAAAAGCAGUUGUUAGUAGGAGCACUACCUGUCAUACUAAUGGACUUAGGCUUGCUGCAUCCUGACUUGCAGGAGCCAGCAGAUUUGCAAAAUGGCUUGACCAGUACUUUGAGAAAAGACGUUCUGUUUGUGGAGAGCAAUGGGAUAAUUAAACAGGGAGAAUUACUAACUUUGGACAUGGAUGAUUGAAAAGUUUCUUGAGUGCUUUGGCUAUCUGAAACGUAAUUGAGAGUCUGUUCUACAGAAUGCUUAAUGAGGUAGGGAAUUGAAAUGAGUACUGUUAAAAUUAUUCAAAAAUCCUAACACAGGUGUAUUUUAU